UACAGAGGGUGCGAGCGUUAAUCGGAAUUACUGGGCGUAAAGCGUGCGUAGACGGUUGCGUAAGUCAGAUGUGAAAGCCCCCGGGCUCAACCUGGGAAUUGCAUUUGAGACUGCGUAGCUAGGGUGCGGAAGAGGGAAGCGGAAUUUCCGGUGUAGCGGUGAAAUGCGUAGAUAUCGGAAGGAACACCAGUGGCGAAAGCGGCUUCCUGGUCCAGCACCGACGUCAGGCACGAAAGCGUGGGGAGCAAACAGG
rnacentral:rRNA from 1 species